rnacentral:rRNA from 1 species
GGGCUCACGGCCUAUCAGCCUCGUUCGGUCGAGGUAAUCGGCUUACCAAGGCGACGACGGGUAGCCGGCCUGAGAGGGUCGACCGGCCACACUGGGACUGAAAACACGGCCCAGACUCCUACGGGAGGCAGCAGUGGGGAAAUAUUCGCACAAUGGGCGCAAGCCUGAUGCAGCGACCCUCCCGUGAGGGAUGAACGGCCUUCCGGGUUCGUAAACCUCUGUUAGCAUCGAAGAAGCGAAAGUUGACGGUAGGUGCAGAGAAAGCGCUCGGCUAACUACGUUGCCAGCCAGCCGCGGUAAUACGUAGGGCGCGAGCCGUUUGUCCGGAAUUUAUUUGGGCGUAAAGAGCUUUGUAGGCGGUUUGGUCCGCGUCCUGCCUGUGAAAGGCCGGGGCUUAACUCCGGUUUUGCAGUGGGUACGGGCUAACUAGAGUGCAGUAGGGGAGACUGGAAUUCCUGGUGUAGCGGUGGAAUGCACAGAUAUCAGGAGGAACACCGAUGGCGAAGGCAGGUCUCUGGGCUGUAACUGACGCUGAGAAGCGAAAGCAUGGGGAGCGAACAGGAUUAGAUACCCUGGUAGUCCAUGCCGUAAACGUUGGGCACUAGGUGUGGGGGACAUUCCACGUUUUCCGCGCCGUAGCUAACGCAUUAAGUGCCCCGCCUGGGGAGUACGGCCGCAAGGCUAAAACUCAAAGGAAUUGACGGGGGCCCGCACAAGCGGCGGAGCAUGCGGAUUAAUUCGAUGCAACGCGAAGAACCUUACCAAGGCUUGACAUGCAUUAGAUCGCGUCAGAGAUGGCGUUUCCCUUCGGGGCUGGUGUACAGGUGGUGCAUGGUUGUCGUCAGCUCGUGUCGUGAGAUGUUGGGUUAAGUCCCGCAACGAGCGCAACCCUCGUUCUAUGUUGCCAGCGGUUCGGCCGGGGACUCAUAGGAGACUGCCGGGGUCAAACUCGGAGGAAGGUGGGGAUGACGUCAAAUCAUCAUGCCCCUUAUGUCUUGGGCUUCACGCAUGCUACAAUGGCCGGUACAGAGGGUUGCGAUACUGUGAGGUGGAGCUAAUCCCUUAAAGCCGGUCUCAGUUCGGAUUGGGGUCUGCAAACUCGACCCCGUGAAAGUCGGAGUCGCUAGUGAAUCGCAGGAUCAGCAAACGCUGCGGUGAAUACGUUUCCCGGGCCUUGUACACACCGCCCGUUCAGGAGCGGAAUUCGUUGUAACCCG